GCAAAACAAAACCUCCAAAAACUAGACCAUACCUCUAGACCGAGAGCAACCCCUCAACGUGCUAAUAGCACCCAGACCCAAUAUAAUUGAUCAAUGGACCA
rnacentral:rRNA from 1 species